rnacentral:ncRNA from 1 species
AAGGGAAGCCGGUGCAAAUCCGGCGCGGUCGCGCCACUGUAAGGGGGAGUGACCCCACAUCAGGCCACUGGCCCAGCACUCAGCAAGAUCUCUACCGCUACGGGUUAUCUUCUUUAAGAAGUACCCGGGACGGUGCAACUGAAGGGGCUGAGUGCUGGACUGGGAAGGCGUGGGGGAGCGUUGAACCCGAGCCAGGAGACCU